AUGAUGCUUACAUGGUGCUCCACCGGUCCCGAACAAACCCCGCAGCCUCCGUGCAGCACACAGCGCAGUACUCACUCUUCUCGCAACGACGCCUUUCCAAGAACUUUAUCCUGGUACCCGGCAGCCCCGCUGACUCCCCAGGCAAUCCGAUGCAGCGCCGGCGGAGCUGCGGAGAGAGCACACCAUUCCCGAGCGGCAGCAGCGGCACACCAACCCGUGCCCAGGGGUGGGAGCCGCUCUCCUGCCCGGACCCCGAUUAAAGGUGGACAAAGGCACGCCGUGCCGACAAGCCUCCUCAGACUGUGGGAGUUAUUACACACAGAAAGUAUUAUCUGGAGCCGAAACGCCAGAGCUUGAUGGGAGCAGGGGGAUUUUCCUCAUCAGGCACUGCAAGGAGAAGUAAAAAUCCAGUUAGCGAGCGCGUCUCUGCCUGCAACACCCUAUUUAGUGCAGAAGACAAGGGCAGAAUAGAUUGUUCUCCCUUAAAAGGCUGUGCUGCACGGCCAUGACUGCCGGCCACAGCAGAGCUGCAAGCGCCGCGCCGCUCCCGGGACCCGCUGCCCGCCACCCAUGGCAUUCCCUGCGCUUGGAUCAUGCACUCUCUGUGCAGGACGUGGUUAUUCUGGUGAAUCAGGGACGGACUUUUAUACCCCUACAGAGAUCUGAAUGGCCACAGCCAUGUCUUCGCUGGGUCGCAUCGUUCACCUGUUGAAAUACGCAAGCCGGAGUUUCCAGGUAGAACAUAAGUAGAGCUGAUGCUUUUACCGACACUUGAAGUUAAAACGCAGGACUAGUGCUGGAUUUUCUACGGGGAAAUGGACAGAAAUGCAAAUUCUGAACAGUUUAACAGCUGAAUUACAGAUUGGGUAUUUCUGUAUUUUGAAACGAUUGUUGUUUUAAAGGUAAGAUUUAAUGGGCAUUUGCCCACACAGGUAUGCUGGUGCUGUUGCACAUGAACCCAUGAGCAGGGACAAGAUUCCCUAAAUUUCUCCAGAACCUCCAGGUCAGUCAAAAAACACUUGUGCUGCCUCUGGGUCUAGAAGAGUGCACGAGCUGAGCAUAGAGUGGCAACACGAUCGCCAGAGAAGGGAAUUGGGAAUAACAAGCAAAAGCACACAUGAAAUAAUGGCUUUUCAUUCAUAGUGUCUCACUUUUAAAUUGAAAGUCGUGAUUGUUCCUUUUUUUUUUUUUUUUUUUUUUUUUUUUUGGGGGGGGGGGGGGGGGGGGGGGGGGGGGGGGGGGGGGGGG
rnacentral:lncRNA from 12 species